GUACGCUUGGCUUGGCGGCUUGACAGGGCUGUACUCUGCACCCUAGUGCCAUACACCGGGGUGUUGUUAAUAUUGGAAUAAAAGGUCUCACCCCCGUAA